rnacentral:lncRNA from 1 species
GAAAUUAGGUGCAAUAAAUCUCUGAAGUACAAAAAUAAGGGGAAAAUUCCUGCAAGCAAUAACUCUCUGAACAUACUUCUUGCACACAAUUGGUGCCCCUAUAAAAGAAAAGGCAACAGUGCCAUUGGUUCAAAAAUCGAAGAGGCACCACUCUCCGGAUUUCGAGAAGCAGAUUUUCCUGAGUAAAAUAUGUCGACAAUCCCCACACACAACAUCAGCUCAUCGGGUACCACAGAUAACUUUGUCAAAUAUCUAUGACAAAGUUUAGACACAUAAAUUUUAAAGGUCUAGCUACCCUACCAUUACCCACUAGGGUAAAGGAACAACACCACUGCUUGAUAACUGGAAAGUCCCUCUGUGUGUCAACCUCCGUGCUCUGUGGCAAGGCAGAUUGGAAAAAAUGCCUAACCUUUACUCACAUCGAGAAAACACUCCAAACAUGAUUACUUGCUCAAAAAUCGAAGAGGCACCGCUCCUCGAAUCUCGAGAGCCAAACUCCACCAGGAUUGCUUUCUCAAAAAUCGAAGAGGCACCGCUAUCCGACUCUCAAGAUCCAGACUCACAACACGAUUGCUUUCUCAAAAAUCGAAGAGGCACCCCUCUCCGAAUCUCGAGAGCCAGACUCCC